UACGUAGGGUGCAAGCGUUAAUCGGAAUUACUGGGCGUAAAGCGUGCGUAGACGGUUACAUAAGUCGGAUGUGAAAGCCCCGGGCUCAACCUGGGAAUUGCAUUCGAGACUGUGUAGCUAGGAUGCGGAAGAGGGAAGCGGAAUUUCCGGUGUAGCGGUGAAAUGCGUAGAUAUCGGAAGGAACACCAGUGGCGAAAGCGGCUUCCUGGUCCAGCAUCGACGUUCAGGCACGAAAGCGUGGGGAGCAAACAGG
rnacentral:rRNA from 1 species